rnacentral:rRNA from 1 species
UACGUAGGGUGCAAGCGUUAAUCGGAAUUACUGGGCGUAAAGCGUGCGCAGGCGGUUGUGCAAGACAGAUGUGAAAUCCCCGGGCUUAACCUGGGAACUGCAUUUGUGACUGCACGGCUAGAGUGUGUCAGAGGGGGGUAGAAUUCCACGUGUGAGCAGUGAAAUGCGUAGAUAUGUGGAGGAAUACCGAUGGCGAAGGCAGCCCCCUGGGAUAACACUGACGCCUGCA